rnacentral:rRNA from 1 species
CCUACGGGAGGCUGCAGUGGGGAAUAUUGGACAAUGGGGGCAACCCUGAUCCAGCCAUGCCGCGUGUGUGAAGAAGGCCCUCGGGUUGUAAAGCACUUUCAGUGAGGAAGAACGCCUGGUGGUUAAUACCCAUCAGGAAAGACAUCACUCACAGAAGAAGCACCGGCUAACUCCGUGCCAGCAGCCGCGGUAAUACGGAGGGUGCGAGCGUUAAUCGGAAUUACUGGGCGUAAAGGCGCGUAGGUGGCUUGAUAAGCCGGUUGUGAAAGCCCCGGGCUCAACCUGGGAACGGCAUCCGGAACUGUCAAGCUAGAGUGCAGGAGAGGAAGGUAGAAUUCCCGGUGUAGCGGUGAAAUGCGUAGAGAUCGGGAGGAAUACCAGUGGCGAAGGCGGCCUUCUGGACUGACACUGACACUGAGGUGCGAAAGCGUGGGUAGCAAACAGGAUUAGAUACCCCUGUAGUC